UACAGAGGGGGCAAGCGUUGUUCGGAAUUACUGGGCGUAAAGGGCGCGUAGGCGGCCGCUUAAGUCGAACGUGAAAUCCCCGGGCUCAACCCGGGAACUGCGUCCGAUACUGGGGGGCUUGAAUUCGGGAGAGGGAUGCGGAAUUCCAGGUGUAGCGGUGAAAUGCGUAGAUAUCUGGAGGAACACCGGUGGCGAAGGCGGCAUCCUGGACCGAGAUUGACGCUGAGGCGCGAAAGCCAGGGGAGCAAACGGGG
rnacentral:rRNA from 1 species